UCCGCGUGCGUGAUUGGCCGGCGCGGUCGAGAUUGACGGCGAUCGCGAGAUCGCGGCGAGUUUGGCGAGUUUCGCGUGUGUUAAAUCGUGCAAUGUGACAUGUGUACGUGUCGCGUGGUGUCUCGCGAGAUAUACCGAUGAAUUUAAUGUUCGAGAAGAUCUGAUGGGAUUAGCUAUUGGUGCUCAUGAUGCAAAUAUUCAACAAACGUGAAAAGUUGAUAACAUUACAAAUAUAGUUAGAAGAAAAUUCAUGCACAUUUUAGAUAUAUAGAGAGGCGCAUGAAGCUGUUAAGAAAGACCGAUCUAUGCUGAAAUACAGCGGUAACCUAAAAAUAGAUAGUGACAGUGUGACAGUCGUGACCAUCGCCGCGUGAUAGAUGAUAGUGAUAGUGAAAUAUAUAUUGACGGCAGGGAGCUGAUGCCGAGGAGAUCUUUAAGAAGAAAGGUAUAUCCAAAA